rnacentral:misc_RNA from 1 species
GAUGAAGAACGUAGUGAAAUGCGAUACUUGGUGUGAAUUGCAGAAUCCCGUGAACCAUCGAGUCUUUGAACGCAAGUUGCGCCCGAAGCCAUUUGGUUGAGGGCACGUCUGCCUGGGCGUCACAUAUCGUUGCCCGAUGCCUAUUGCACUGUGAUAGGAAAUUCUAGGGCGAAAGAUGGCUUCCCGUGAGCGUUGUUGCCUCGCGGUUGGUUGAAAAUUGAGUCCUUGGUAGGGUGUGCCAUGAUAGAUGGUGGUCGAGUUUGCACGAGACCGAUCAUGUGUGCGCUCCCCAAAAUAUGGACUCUUUGACCCCACGCGCGUCUUUUGACGCUCAUGACGAGACCUCAGGUCAGGCGGGGCUACCCGCUGAGUUUAAGCAUAUCAAUAAGCGGAGGA